AAAUAAAUUAAAACUUUCAACAACGGAUCUCUUGGCUCUGGCAUCGAUGAAGAACGCAGCGAAAUGCGAUAAGUAAUGUGAAUUGCAGAAUCCAGUGAAUCAUCGAAUCUUUGAACGCACAUUGCGCCCGCCAGCAUUCUGGCGGGCAUGCCUGUUCGAG
rnacentral:rRNA from 1 species